rnacentral:rRNA from 1 species
UAGAGUUUGAUCAUGGCUCAGGAUGAACGCUAGCGGCAGGCUUAACACAUGCAAGUCGAGGGGCAUCGGGAGGGAAGCUUGCUUUCCUUGCCGGCGACCGGCGCACGGGUGAGUAACACGUAUGCAACCUGCCCUCUUCAGGGGGACAACCUUCCGAAAGGGAGGCUAAUCCCGCGUAUAUCGGUUUCGGGCAUCCGAGAUCGAGGAAAGAUUCAUCGGAAGAGGAUGGGCAUGCGGCGCAUUAGCUUGACGGCGGGGUAACGGCCCACCGUGGCGACGAUGCGUAGGGGUUCUGAGAGGAAGGUCCCCCACACUGGUACUGAGACACGGACCAGACUCCUACGGGAGGCAGCAGUGAGGAAUAUUGGUCAAUGGGAGAGAUCCUGAACCAGCCAAGCCGCGUGAGGGAAGACGGCCCUAUGGGUUGUAAACCUCUUUUGUCGGAGAACAAAACCCGGGACGUGUCCCGGACUGCGUGUAUCCGAAGAAAAAGCAUCGGCUAACUCCGUGCCAGCAGCCGCGGUAAUACGGAGGAUGCGAGCGUUAUCCGGAUUUAUUGGGUUUAAAGGGUGCGUAGGCGGUCCGUUAAGUCAGCGGUAAAAUUGCGGGGCUCAACCCCGUCGAGCCGUUGAAACUGGCAGACUUGAGUUGGCGAGAAGUACGCGGAAUGCGCGGUGUAGCGGUGAAAUGCAUAGAUAUCGCGCAGAACUCCGAUUGCGAAGGCAGCGUACCGGCGCCAGACUGACGCUGAGGCACGAAAGCGUGGGGAUCGAACAGGAUUAGAUACCCUG